CCUACGGGUGGCAGCAGUGGGGAAUAUUGCACAAUGGGGGAAACCCUGAUGCAGCGACGCCGCGUGAGUGAGGAAGUAUUUCGGUAUGUAAAGCUCUAUCAGCAGGGAAGAAAAUGACGGUACCUGAUUCAGAAGCCCCGGCUAACUACGUGCCAGCAGCCGCGGUAAUACGUAAGGGGCAAGCGUUAUCCGGAUUUACUGGGGGUAAAGGGGGCGUAGACGGCAGCGCAAGUCUGGAGUGAAAUGCCGGGGGUUAAACCCGGAACUGCUGUGGAAACUGUGCAGCUAGAGUGCAGGAGAGGUAAGUGGAAUUCCUGGUGUAGCGGUGAAAUGCGUAGAUAUUAGGAGGAACACCAGUGGCGAAGGCGGCUUACUGGACUGUAACUGACGUUGAGGCUCGAAAGCGUGGGGAGCAAACAGGAUUAGAUACCCUAGUAGUC
rnacentral:rRNA from 1 species